AACGAACGCUGGCGGCAUGCCUAACACAUGCAAGUCGAACGAAGGCUUCGGCCUUAGUGGCGCACGGGUGCGUAACGCGUGGGAAUCUGCCCUUUGCUUCGGAAUAACAGUUAGAAAUGACUGCUAAUACCGGAUGAUGUCGUAAGACCAAAGAUUUAUCGGCAAAGGAUGAGCCCGCGUAGGAUUAGCUAGUUGGUGGGGUAAUGGCCUACCAAGGCGACGAUCCUUAGCUGGUCUGAGAGGAUGAUCAGCCACACUGGAACUGAGACACGGCCCAGACUCCUACGGGAGGCAGCAGUGGGGAAUAUUGGACAAUGGGCGAAAGCCUGAUCCAGCAAUGCCGCGUGAGUGAUGAAGGCCUUAGGGUUGUAAAGCUCUUUUACCCGGGAUGAUAAUGACAGUACCGGGAGAAUAAGCUCCGGCUAACUCCGUGCCAGCCGCCGCAGUAAAAC
rnacentral:rRNA from 1 species